UAGAGAAUAAAAAACUUGAGAGUGGAAACGGACGGUUUAAAGAUAAAUCAGGAGAGAAACACGAGUGAAAAAGUGAAACACUUACAAGAGCACUCAAGGGAGAGUUGUGUGAGUCUAUAAGGGGGGACUUUGCUUCUUUCCAAUUAAGGUAAGCCUCCUUCCUCUUCUAUUGCAUCAUUCCUUUCUUCCUUAGUAUCUCAAUACAGUUGCUAACGGCCACACAAACCCAGAAAAUCGCAGCAAGCUUCAACCUAAAACUUCCUUCUGCUGCACCUGAACGUGAAGACAAUGUGGGUAAACGUGUUGUUUCUUUCUAAUUUCUUUUUGUCUUUAAUUUCAUUUCAUUCUUAAGUCAUAAUUAGUUAUUUUAAAAUCUUAGGAGUCUUAAGAAACAAAUUGCAACGAUAGAAUUGUUCCUAAAAUCAAGAAUUAACCAAAACUUCGCAAUUAACUCUGCAACCGUUGCCCAGACGAGUUACAGACCAUUUUUCUAGUUUCAUAUUCAUUCUACUAGUGCGUUUGGACCCAAAUAACCGUUCUCUUCGAGGUAAAAAGGAUAAUAAUUCAGUGAAUACAAGUAUUGAGCUUUAUAUAUGCAUUUAAUCGGUAAAAAUUGCAUAAAAUGGAACUGUGCUUGUGGUUUUAACGAAAAUAAGGGGGGGUGUGCGUGUGUGUGCGCGUUCAUGCAUAUUUUCUUCAUAUAAAUAAAUGCUUUGUGAUGUUUGGAUGAUGAUUAAUGUUUGAUUAAUGUAUGAGAAUGAAUUGGAAUGGAAAAUUAAUCGAAAUUGAACGAAAUAUCAAAGGAAAAAUGUUGACAGAGUCCAAAUGCCUCUGUUGACUGUGCCAGGCACCAAAGUGUCGGUAAAGAGGGACACCCGCGACUUAGCAGUGCGAGAAUGCGCGCGGGACAAUUCCCAGGCGCUCAAAAGCAUCGGGUUAGUCCCUCUGGCACACCGCGCACGUGCACUACGCUGUGCGGGAGUGUGCGAGGUUUUGCCAAGCACCCUGCGGUGCCGAGAGGACCUAUGCGCAUGAAGGUAUCGCGCGCAGUGCAAGCGUGCGUGCAUAGGCAUGUAGGGAUGUGCGCAAGGGCGCCCCAUUGCACCUCAGCACAUGCCUUGUAGGCCAGCUGCCUCACACAGCGGGCAGUGCGAGCCGUGUUGGUUUGAGAGGCGUACGCACGCCGAGAGGCCUUCGCGGAUGUUAACCGGGCUACAGGCACGAGAAAGGGAAAUUUCCUUAGGCGGGCAAUGGUUUACGGGCAAAUUAGUAAUUUUCUUAUAAACAAAAAUUGGAAUUAAAUUUAUGAAAUGGCAUAAAAUGGAAUUUAACAGUAAAAUUUGAUAUUCGAAAAUUAAAUUGAAAUUUACAAUGACACCAAAAUUGAGAAAUGGAAAAAUUAAAUACUGGGUACAGAAUAAGUAAGAUAUUUAAUCUUAUACUUAAAAUUAAUAAAAUAUAACAAUAAUUCAAUAAAAUUUAAUCAACCAUAAAACUUUAGAUAAAACAAAUAAAAUAAGAACAUAUUAAGUAAAAUCAAUAAAUAAAAAGGCUAGUUUAAAAUACAGUAAAAUGUCAAAUUAAUAAACCUAUAAAUUAGUCAGAUAAAAUCAAAAGAAAAAAAAAAUAAAAGGGUAAAAAAUUUAACCAAUACAAUUGUCUAGUUAAAUCUGAUUUACCUAAUUUUCUUAGAGGAAUAGUCUGUAUGGAUUUUAGAGCUAGUAGGCUGUGAGUGUUGGUUUUGGUUAUUGUGUUGGAAUUAGUAUUCAUUUUUUGCAUGGGAAUCUGAAUUAAUUGGUAUUCAUGCUCUGACGAGAGAUGAAUUAUGUGACCGGAGUAAAAUUUGUGAGAGGGUCGAUCGGAG
rnacentral:lncRNA from 1 species